CAGCACAUAGCUGGCUCUCCAAUAUACUGCCUCCUUCCUAUCUUGACGAUAUUGGUGCUGCAGCAUCUUCAGAUGUUAGGCCAGCUUUUUUUGCAGUGAGGUAGAACAACUGUGGACGUCACAGGGUUGCAGCAGAGAACAAGCCGAAUGGUUUGAUUCCAGAGAGCCUGAAGGAAAGGCUAAGCAGAAACUAGCAGGUUGUUCCAUCAAGACAAUGGAAUAUGAGAAUUGAAGAGAUAACAGAAAAGGAGACCUGUUCAUUUACAAUGAAUACAUUUUAAAAAGACCAUCUGAUAAUUUUGCCUUUGUAGAUUGGAAAAUACUGGGAAGCACACUAGGAAGCUUGAAGGCCAGCCAUGGAAACAAGAAACAGAUCCAAAGCAGAAGCUAAAGAAUCCCCCAAGUCUACCAUGACAAAGGCAAAUGCUGGUGCUGGGGAUAAGAAGGAAUUUCCCAGCAAGCAGCCUGAGCCCACCAAUGUUCCCAAGAAGCCAGCCGCUGAGGCCACUGCAGUGGGUGAGCCGAAGCCUGCAGGGGAUAGCUCAGUGACACUACCCGCCGCCGGCUUGGAAAGCAGCAAGGCAGCAGAGCCCCAGCCGGACACCCAGGGCAUCAAGGAAGACGCAUCCGACGGGCAGUCCAGCAACUUGUUUGAGAAUAUGAAGCCCUAUAUACUGGGAGGGGCUGCCAUCACAGCUCUUGCAGUCCUAGUAGGUGUGUUCUUCAUCCUACACAAGAAAUAAAGAAAAUGUAUAAAACUGUAUAUUGAUAUUGGUUAUUUUAUGCAUGUGUGUACAUUGGAGGAAUAUCUUCUGAACCAGUACUUGUACAACUGUGCUCACCACUAUAAUCUUGGGUUAACGUGAUUGUAUUUAACUCACAGUGUCCAUGCGCAUUGCAAAACAUCUGGAUUAACUUGUAUAUUGUAAAAGUUGACUCUCCACCCCCACCCCUCCAUCCCCCACCUUUCUGCAGAACUUAUGCCGGUGUUACAUGAGCCACACUUGUUCCCUUGCUAGCUUCCCACUGAAAAUUUUCACACACUGUAGAUCUCCCCCCUCUAAGCGUUGAGUGUUUAUCUAGUAGGAGGCCUUGUAAAGCUAUUCAUUUCUCUUGUAGCGAAUACAAUAAGAUGCAUUUCAGCAGCAUGUAAGACAAAUUUUUAUCCCCUGGGCCCAUCUUGCGUACACACAUGCCUCUUUCGCUCGACUUUGCUACAAUCAUCAGUCUCAGCAACCACAACAAACAAAAUAACUUUAAUUGGAUCGAGGUGAUGAACAGAAGCUUCAACACUGUCGGUAAAAAGAAAACAACAAGGCGAAAGCAAUAAAACCAAGUUCACCCUGGACUCCCAUUCCUUCUAGAAUUUACUAGUAGAUUCUCUGUGUGAUUUGUUCUUGGGCCCACAAUAGUAUUUAAUUCAAAUGAUGAUGUCACAUUUACUUUGACUUAAAACAAGCGUAUACAUGCAAUAAAAGUUAUGUUUAAAAAAAAACAAAUUACUAGUUGAAAGUUGAUAAUAGGUAGAGUAGCUGUGACCCAGGCUGCUGCUAAUGUACCCAUCCCUCCUUUAUUCAUAUACUCUGGACACUGCUUGUUAUUUUAAGUGUUGUAUCAGCUUUUAUGUGAACAGUAAGGUUGCCUAACAGAUGUGUUGUAUGUGUAUUAUGUAUUCUUUAUUCUGUACAUAAUAAACUAUCGGUCAGAUUUUAAUGUCUGGCUACCCAAUUGCUCCAAGGAAUGUGAUUAAAUAAAAUAACAUUUCUGAAAGUUAAA